GUUGUCCGGAUUUAUUGGGCGUAAAGCGAGCGCAGGCGGUUAGAUAAGUCUGAAGUUAAAGGCUGUGGCUUAACCAUAGUACGCUUUGGAAACUGUUUAACUUGAGUGCAAGAGGGGAGAGUGGAAUUCCAUGUGUAGCGGUGAAAUGCGUAGAUAUAUGGAGGAACACCGGUGGCGAAAGCGGCUCUCUGGCUUGUAACUGACGCUGAGGCUCGAAAGCGUGGGGAGCAAACAGGAUUAGAUACCCUGGUAGUCCACGCCGUAAACGAUGAGUGCUAGGUGUUAGACCCUUUCCGGGGUUUAGUGCCGUAGCUAACGCAUUAAGCACUCCGCCUGGGGAGUACGACCGCAAGGUUGAAACUCAAAGGAAUUGACGGGGGCCCGCACAAGCGGUGGAGCAUGCGGUUUAAUUCGAAGCAACGCGAAGAACCUUACCAGGUCUUGACAUCCCUCUGACCGCUCUAGAGAUAGAGCUUUCCUUCGGGACAGAGGUGACAGGUGGUGCAUGGUUGUCGUCAGCUCGUGUCGUGAGAAG
rnacentral:rRNA from 1 species